GUGAGGAAUUUUCCGCAAUGGGCGAAAGCCUGACGGAGCAAUGCCGCGUGAAGGAUGAAGGCCUAUGGGUUGUAAACUUCUUUUCUUAGAGAAGAAUAUUGACGGUAUCUGAGGAAUAAGCAUCGGCUAACUCUGUGCCAGCAGCCGCGGUAAGACAGAGGAUGCAAGCGUUAUCCGGAAUGAUUGGGCGUAAAGCGUCUGUAGGUGGCUUCAAAACUCUCCUGUCAAAGAUCAGGGCUUAACCCUGGGCCGGCAGGAGAAACUCUGAGGCUAGAGUUUGGUAGGGGCAGAGGGAAUUCCCGGUGGAUCGGUGAAAUGCGUAGAGUUCGGGAGGAACACCAAAGGCGAAAGCACUCUGCUGGGCCACAACUGACACUGAGAGACGAAAGCGAGGGGAGCAAAAGGGAUUAGAUACCCCGGUAGUCC
rnacentral:rRNA from 1 species